AUAUCUGUGAAAAAUGUCAUUGGGAUUUUCAUAGGGAUUGCAUUGAGUCUAUAGGUUGCCUUGGGUAGAAUUGAUAUCUCAACAAUAUUAUAUCUUCCAAUCCAUGAACAUGGAAUGUGUUUAUUUAUUUAUUUAUUUAUUUAUUUAUUUAUUUAUUUAUUUAUCUUUAAUUUUGUUCUGCAAUGUUUUGCAGUUUUCACUGUGAGUCUUUAAUCUCCUAGGUUAAUUCCUAAGUAUUUUAUUCUUUCCGAUGCUAUUCUAAAUAAGAUCAUUUUCAUGAUUUCCUUUUCAGCUUGUUCAUUGUUAACAUAUAGACAUGCAACUGACUUCUGUGGGUUGACUUUGCAUACUCGUUACUUUGAGGAAUUCACUUACCAGUCCUAACAGUUUUUUGUGUAGGAUCUUCAAGGUUUUCUCCAUCCCAUCAUUUGUGAAAAGAGUUCAUUCUAAUUCUUCUAUUACAAUUUGGAUGAUGUAUUUCUUUUCUUGCCUAAUCGCCCUGGCUAGGACUUCCAGUACUAUGUCAAAUAGAAGUGGUGAGAGUGGGCAUCCUUGCUUUCUUCCUGAUCUUAGUGGAAAAGUUUCCAGUCUUUCACCAUUGAGUAUAAUUUUCACCAUGGGUUUUUCAUAGAUGGCUUUUAUUAUUGUUCAGAUAGGGAUCCACAAGGACCUGCCAUAUACCUGUCCCCAAUCUCCAAUGCCAACGCCAAGGCAAGCAGGGCAGGUAUAAUGACAUUCUAAAGAUGGAGAGUCUGUUUCAGUCAUCUAAGUAGAAGCUGAGAGAUUGUUGAAAUUAUUUCAGAGUGCUACAUUGCCUUUUGUUGAAACCCCAUGCAAUGAUAAGGGAAUGGUUACAGAAAAAUAAAUAAAUAUUUCAUUUGCACAUUGAUGUAUUAUAUGAGUAAAUUUACCACACUACUCACAGUAAUGCUUUGUAUGUUGUUCAUUUGGACAAUGCUCAAAACAUUUUAAGGCAAGUGUAUCCUGAAUCACAUGGAUAGCUAGCUACAUUUGGACUGAGUAAUGUCACGUUGUAAAACCACAUUGCCACUAAGAACUUUGUUUUGUUUUGUUUUUUAAUUGAGGUAUAAUUGACACAUAACAUUAUAUUAAUUUAAGGUAUAUUUUAAUUGUUUUAGAUAACAGACAAAAAGAGAAGGAAAUUGGUAUUUGUGUUUUUAGGCAUUCAACAAAUAAUUGCCAAGCAUAUGCGGGCACUGUACGAAGUGCUUGGGAUCCAACAAUAGAGAAAUAGAUGGGUGGAUAGGAAAGGAGAGGACAGAUAGAUAGACAGAUAGACAUCAAGAUGUACAGAUGAAGAGUUAGAUACAUAGUCAUAGGUAAAUAUAUAGGAACUUAGAUACAUAUACAAAUUCUGUUAGAUUUUGAUUGAUGUAUAUAAAAAUUUGAGUGGAAUAAUACUAAUAAGGAUUGCCCAUACAGGGACUGGAGAAAGUUGUUUUCAUCAUUAUGCAUCAAAAACUCUACAUCGGGUGGUCAUGUAGGAGCACUGUGAUAAAGGGACAUUAGAGCAAGGAUCCUGAAAAGGGAGGGCAUGAGCUGAGAACAUCUACCUGGUGAACUGGUAUGUUUCCCCACUCCUACUUUGCACAUUUUUUUAUUUUCCUUAUGGUGUAUUUGGCAUAUUUAAAGCAUAAAGUUGUAUAUUUUUAAAUUUAUCUGAUCUAUAAGCCUCUGUCUUUACCCAACAAAUUCAAUCUGUUUACAUUUCUGAGGUUGCU
rnacentral:lncRNA from 1 species